UUCAGAUUGAUGUUUUCCCUGUGUGGAAAGCAUGGGGUCUUGCUCUGUUACGGAUGGAGCGCUAUGCUCAAGCUCGAGUUAAAUUCAAGCAAGCCUUUCAAUUGAAGGGGGAAGACAUUCCUGAUGUUAUUCAGGAGAUAAUAAA